GAUGAACGCUGGCGGCGUGCCUAAUACAUGCAAGUCGAGCGAACAGACGAGGAGCUUGCUCCUCUGACGUUAGCGGCGGACGGGUGAGUAACACGUGGAUAACCUACCUAUAAGACUGGGAUAACUUCGGGAAACCGGAGCUAAUACCGGAUAAUAUAUUGAACCGCAUGGUUCAAUAGUGAAAGACGGUUUUGCUGUCACUUAUAGAUGGAUCCGCGCCGCAUUAGCUAGUUGGUAAGGUAACGGCUUACCAAGGCAACGAUGCGUAGCCGACCUGAGAGGGUGAUCGGCCACACUGGAACUGAGACACGGUCCAGACUCCUACGGGAGGCAGCAGUAGGGAAUCUUCCGCAAUGGGCGAAAGCCUGACGGAGCAACGCCGCGUGAGUGAUGAAGGUCUUCGGAUCGUAAAACUCUGUUAUUAGGGACGAACAAAUGUGUAAGUAACUAUGCACGUCUUGACGGUACCUAAUCAGAAAGCAACGGCUAACUACGUG
rnacentral:rRNA from 1 species